AUUGAACGCUGGCGGAAUGCUUUACACAUGCAAGUCGAACGGCAGCACGGGGCAACCUGGUGGCGAGUGGCGAACGGGUGAGUAAUACAUCGGAACGUGCCCAAUCGUGGGGGAUAACGUAGCGAAAGUUACGCUAAUACCGCAUACGAUCUAAGGAUGAAAGCGGGGGAUCGCAAGACCUCGCGCGAAUGGAGCGGCCGAUGUCAGAUUAGGUAGUUGGUGGGGUAAAGGCUCACCAAGCCGACGAUCUGUAGCUGGUCUGAGAGGACGACCAGCCACACUGGGACUGAGACACGGCCCAGACUCCUACGGGAGGCAGCAGUGGGGAAUUUUGGACAAUGGGCGAAAGCCUGAUCCAGCCUUUCCGCGUGCAGGAUGAAGGCCUUCGGGUUGUAAACUGCUUUUGUACGGAACGAAACGGUCUCCUCUAAUACAGGAGGCUAAUGA
rnacentral:rRNA from 1 species